AACGCAACUUGCGCUCUCUGGUAUUCCGGAGAGCAUGCCUGUUUGAGUGUCAUGAUCUCUCAACCAAUAGAGUUUUCUAUUGGCUUGGAUCUGGGUGCUGCGAAACAAUCGCUCACCUUAAAGGAGUUAGCAACUAAGCGAUGUCGUCCGACGUAAUAAGUUUCGUCUGGUAAUUCGACUGAGCCAAUUGCUUCUAAUUGUCUUUUGACUUUUUUGACUCUGGCCUCAAAUCAGGUAGGACUACCCGCUGAACUUAA
rnacentral:misc_RNA from 1 species